rnacentral:tRNA from 1 species
GGUCCCAUCGUCUAGUGGUCUAGGACGCCGGCCUCUCACGCCGGUAACCCGGGUUCGAGUCCCGGUGGGAUCACCA